rnacentral:rRNA from 1 species
AUUGAACGCUGGCGGCAGGCCUAACACAUGCAAGUCGAGCGGAGCGGCGGACGGGUGCGUAAUGCCUAGGAAUCUGCCUGGGAGUGGGGGAUGACGUUCGGAAAUGGGCGCUAAUACUGCAUACUAUCAGAUUAGCCUAGGUCGGAUUAGCUAGAUGUUGGGGUAAAGGCAUACCAAGGCGACGAUCCGUAACUGGUCUGAGAGGAUGAUCAGUCACACUGGAACUGAGACACGGUCCAGACUCCUACGGGAGGCAGCAGUGGGGAAUAUUGGACAAUGGGCGAAAGCCUGAUGCAGCCAUGCCGCGUGUGUGAAGAAGGUCUUCGGAUUGUAAAGCACUUUAAGUUGGGAGGCGUUACCAGCAGAAUAAGCACCGGCUAACUUCGUGCCAGCAGCCGCGGUAAUUC